UACGGAGGGGGCUAGCGUUGUUCGGAAUUACUGGGCGUAAAGAGCUCGUAGGCGGCUCGGUAAGUCGGGUGUGAAAACUCUAGGCUCAACCUAGAGACGCCACCUGAUACUGCUGUGGCUAGAGUCCGGUAGGGGAGCAUGGAAUUCCUGGUGUAGCGGUGAAAUGCGCAGAUAUCAGGAGGAACACCAGUGGCGAAGGCGGUGCUCUGGGCCGGUACUGACGCUGAGGAGCGAAAGCGUGGGGAGCAAACAGG
rnacentral:rRNA from 1 species